AACACUUAUCAAUAGAAUUUGAAAUUUAUUGCUAUAAUUGCAAAGAAGAGAUUAAUCACUUUGGAUACAAUGUAAAGGGUUAACAGAAAAUCACGAAGAUGACUCUAACAAUUGAAAGUUAAUGGACCAACACCAAAUCAGCAACAUACAUGUCAUAGUGCUGAGAAAAUAAAAAUAGACUGAGAAAUAAAUGUUGCAAAGUGUUGUUUCCAAGCCAUUUAUCAUUCCAAAAUAUAAUCUUUUUCCAUCCCCUAACUUUCUUGUUUUAAAAUUUCCAUUUCCAUUUAUCUAGCAAAGUAAUAUUGAACAAUUAUAAUAUCAAGACCUCCCUCUUAUUUUGUUCUACAUAGAUUCUCAACUGAUCCAAUGGAUUUUCUUGGUUUCUUCAACUCCUUCCCAAAGAAAGGCUCGCUGAAUUCCAGAAGAAUCUUCUAUGGAGAUUUGUCCAAAGACAAAAAAAUAAUAUUGUGGUAUCUGUGUGAGCUCAGCACUCAAAAUGAUAACUCUUCCUCUCAUAACCUUCCUCUUCAAAUUUAUAAUAUCUUCCUGAUAUUUUCUAGAACUAACUUCCAAGUGGAACAACUUCUUAGAUUCCCCACCUAUCAGAACACCCAAAAAAAAAUUAAUGAGACAUAAUCUAUACAACAAGAUAAGAAUGUUGAAGCUUAUUGAAGAAAAUUAUGAUCCACGUUGAUUCCAUAAAGCUUCCAUUUGAAGAAACUAAUUCAAAGGCCUCUCAGGUGAGUUCGAACCUACAAAGGAUAAACUUUAAGCUCCAUAGCUUUUUCCCACAAAUGAUCUCCUACCAAUAUUGUGCCAUAUGCAAACUAUAACAAAUUAAAAUGUGUUAUAAUUAACUUGAAAUCCUUUGAAACCUUCAUUUGUCACUGCUUUUUGCACUAGCCCUACUAACUCUUGAUUGUGUUGAGAAAAAAAAAAGGGAGAAAAUGGGUCGCUUGACUUAGGCCUUGUUGAACUUCAAAGUUUUUUGGAUUUGAGAGCUGACAUGAAAUU
rnacentral:lncRNA from 1 species